rnacentral:rRNA from 1 species
CUUGAAAACCUGAUGCGGUAAUGAGUACGGCUUGCAGAAGAAUAAAUCACGCAGCCCUCUUUUUAAGAGUAUUCGACAGCGCACUGGAACUUUCAAAAUUUGAAAGCCUUUACUGCUAACACAACCCCUUCUCCAGUCAAUCUGAUUCCAGGGAUGUACAAGCAUUAAAAAGAGAAGACAACUCUUCCCAGGGCCAUCGCCUACGUCGAAGGCUUUGUUUGUGUUACCACUCAAUAUCUUCGUGCAAGUGGAGGAAUAUUAACCUCCUUCCCUUUCGGUAAGUGUGGCGAAACGCCAACUUUGAAACAGAUUUCUCUUAUUCCUUAGGACCGACUUACCCGCGAACAAAUGCUGUUCUCGCGGAACCUUUUUUCACAACAGUCUUCACGGUUCUCACGUGAAUAUUUACUACUACCACCAAGAUCUGCAGUAUAGAACGUUUCACUCUGGCUCACGCCACGAGCUGCACAACAAUCUACACGCCCUCCUACUCAGCCCAACACAGAACUUGUUGAGCUGGUUAUGUAUAAGCUCUUCUCUUUAGCGCCAUCCAUUUUCAGGGCUAGUCCAUUCGGCAGGUGGGUUGUUACACGAUCCUUAGCGGAUUCCGACUUCCAUGGCCACCGUCCUGCUGUCCUUAUGGACCAACACCUUUUGUGGGUUCUAGGUGAGAGAAGAAUUUGGCGCUUUAACAUAACGUUCGGAUCAUCCCGCAUCGCCAGACCAGCUUACCCGGUAUGGCCCACUAACAACCUUCCAUUCAACAAAACAGCUCACUAAAGUAGCUGUAUGUUCUUACCCAUUUAAAGUUUGAGAAUAGGAAGAGAGCAUUACGCUCCCUUAGCCUCUAGUCAUUAUCUUUACCUGAUAAAAUUGAGAUGAUUGCAGCUAUCCUGAGGGAAAUUUCGGAGGGAACCAGCUACUAGAUGAUUCGAUUAGUCUUUCGCCCCUAUACUCAAUUUUUACGACCGAUUUGCACGUCAGGACCGCUACGAGCCUCCACCACCGUUUCCGGUGGCUUCACCCUAAUCAAGCAUAGUUCACCAUCUUUCGGGUCCCAGCAUUUAUGCUCACACUCAGACCUUUCAACCGAAGUUUUGUGGCCGGCGGAUGAUGCAAAAAAAUAUCACCACUGUUACUUUCAUUACGCGUAUGAUGUUAAAAAUCAGACACUCGCACAGAUGCUAGACUCCUUGGUCCGUGUUUCAAGACGGGGUGUACAAAAACAUUUCGACAACAACACGAAGACUAGCCUCAAUCCAGACCAAAACGAGACAAGCUGGUAAUCCACGAAAAGACGUGUGCCUCCCAGCCAUACUUAUGCUUCGAUCCAAACCCUUGUUGACAAACUCUGCAUCACAGCGCCUCAAUGACAAGUCAGUGAGGAAAGAUGAUACAGCGAAACACUGUUUUUGUACGCUUCCCUUUCAACGAUUUCGAGUACUCUUUAACUCUCUUUUCAAAGUUCUUUGCAACUUUCAUUCACAUUACUUGUUCGCUAUCGGUUUCCCACCAAUAUUUAGUUUUAUGACAAAUUUACGUCACACUUUGAUCAGCAAUCCCAAGCUAAUCGACUCGUCGAAGGUGUAUGCCAUGGACAAGAACUUUAAACAUGAACGGUGGUCUCAACCUCUUCGCCUAUACGUUCCAGUAUAAUUAGUAAAAAGCCUCGUCCGACACAUCUUCUAUAGGCCACAACUCGGUACUAGGUACCGAUUCACAGGCUGAACUAGAUCCAGUUUCACUCGCCGUUACUAAUGGAAUCAUUGUUAUUUUC